rnacentral:rRNA from 1 species
AUUGAACGCUGGCGGCAUGCCUUACACAUGCAAGUCGAACGGCAGCACGGGAGCAAUCCUGGUGGCGAGUGGCGAACGGGUGAGUAAUAUAUCGGAACGUGCCCAGUCGUGGGGGAUAACGCAGCGAAAGCUGUGCUAAUACCGCAUACGAUCUACGGAUGAAAGCGGGGGAUCGCAAGACCUCGCGCGAUUGGAGCGGCCGAUAUCAGAUUAGCUAGUUGGUGAGGUAAAGGCUCACCAAGGCGACGAUCUGUAGCUGGUCUGAGAGGACGACCAGCCGCACUGGAACUGAGACACGGUCCAGACUCCUACGGGAGGCAGCAGUGGGGAAUUUUGGACAAUGGGCGAAAGCCUGAUCCAGCAAUGCCGCGUGCAGGAUGAAGGCCUUCGGGUUGUAAACUGCUUUUGUACGGAACGAAACGGUGAGCUCUAAUACAGUUUGCUAAUGACGGUACCGUAAGAAUAAGCACCGGCUAACUACGUGCCAGCAGCCGCAGUAAUAC